rnacentral:ncRNA from 2 species
GACAGAGGGUGCUAGCGUUGUUCGGAAUUACUGGGCGUAAAGGGCGCGUAGGCGGCUCGUUUAGUCGGGUGUGAAAUCCCGGGGCUCAACCCCGGAACUGCAUUCGAUACUGGCGGGCUAGAGACCGGAAGAGGUGGGUGGAAUACCCAGUGUAGAGGUGAAAUUCGUAGAUAUUGGGUGGAACACCGGUGGCGAAGGCGGCUCACUGGUCCGGUUCUGACGCUGAGGCGCGAAAGCGUGGGGAGCAAACAGG